rnacentral:rRNA from 1 species
UACGAAGGGGGCUAGCGUUGCUCGGAAUCACUGGGCGUAAAGGGUGCGUAGGCGGGUUUUUAAGUCAGGGGUGAAAUCCUGGAGCUCAACUCCAGAACUGCCUUUGAUACUGAAGAUCUUGAGUCCGGGAGAGGUGAGUGGAACUGCGAGUGUAGAGGUGAAAUUCGUAGAUAUUCGCAAGAACACCAGUGGCGAAGGCGGCUCACUGGCCCGGUACUGACGCUGAGGCACGGAAAAGCGAUGGGGAGCCAAACAGG